CUUCCAUUGUAGUGGUUUGCCUACAAGAACUUGAUCUUCAAACCUGACAGAGAAGCUUUGAUAUCAAAGAUCAAGGACUUGUACAAGGACAUUAUUGGAAGCAGCUAAAAGGAAACAGAGUCUUGGUGCUGCUGCAGAGACAUGGUCAAAAAUAGAUUUCAGUUGAGCAAAUUUGCAGCUUUGCUCUUCAAACUGUAAACUCUGCUUUGUUCUUUUGCUAUCUUUUUAUUCUAACACAAUAAAACUCAACUGAACUAUGUCUAUAUAUGUGCUUAUUUGUA